AGCCAGAGAGCAGUGAUUGGUCAGACUGACUGCGAGUCAGAGAGCAGCGAUUGGUCAGACCAUAGAUAAUAUAGGAGACAGCACGCUAGCGUAUCUAGUCUAUGUAUAUCUGUGGUCGGCACGUCUGGUAGCAUCUCUGGCUGCUGUUGACCUUGUUUUUGGAGUAAAACACGGUGGAAGCUGAAUUAGUGAGGAUGACUCCUGCUCCUGUCAUCUCUAAGCUCCUCACACAUCUUUACCUGCACAUGAGGAAAAUCACUCCUGUAGAAUGCAGAUGUUCAGAGGGAGAUGAUGCCACAUCUGGUCCAGCUGAUGGAAGGUCUUGAAGUUCUCUGACUGGCCUCGACUGAAGAUGGUCGUCUCACUGGAUUUAAGAUGCACAAUGAGGGACGUCUGCAGAGACUGAGAAAGAGUCUCACCACAUCCUGACAUGAGAAAAAGACUUUAUUGAAGACUACAAUGAGAAAAACUGUCAGACAGCAGACGGCUGCAUUCAAGUCUGUAGCUGCUGAAUUCAUGGAUGAAUCAUCUGGCACUAGAGAAGAAGACCAUCAAACAUCCACGUCAGCUGAUGGAGGUCCAAGAGUCUCACCGAACAACCAACCUACAGAGUGAAGACCUCGAAUCUGAUUGGACGGCCUCCUAUUCAGCCACAUGUGUGAACAAAUGCCUCUAAGUUGAU
ensembl:lncRNA